UUGAACGCUGGCGGCAGGCCUAACACAUGCAAGUCGAGCGGUAGCACAGAGAGCUUGCUCUCGGGUGACGAGCGGCGGACGGGUGAGUAAUGUCUGGGAAACUGCCUGAUGGAGGGGGAUAACUACUGGAAACGGUAGCUAAUACCGCAUAAUGUCGCAAGACCAAAGUGGGGGACCUUCGGGCCUCAUGCCAUCAGAUGUGCCCAGAUGGGAUUAGCUAGUAGGUGGGGUAACGGCUCACCUAGGCGACGAUCCCUAGCUGGUCUGAGAGGAUGACCAGCCACACUGGAACUGAGACACGGUCCAGACUCCUACGGGAGGCAGCAGUGGGGAAUAUUGCACAAUGGGCGCAAGCCUGAUGCAGCCAUGCCGCGUGUGUGAAGAAGGCCUUCGGGUUGUAAAGCACUUUCAGCGGGGAGGAAGGCGUUAAGGUUAAUAACCUUGGCGAUUGACGUUACCCGCAGAAGAAGCACCGGCUAACUCCGUGCCAGCAGCCGCGGUAAUACGGAGGGUGCAAGCGUUAAUCGGAAUUACUGGGCGUAAAGCGCACGCAGGCGGUCUGUCAAGUCGGAUGUGAAAUCCCCGGGCUCAACCUGGGAACUGCAUUCGAAACUGGCAGGCUAGAGUCUUGUAGAGGGGGGUAGAAUUCCAGGUGUAGCGGUGAAAUGCGUAGAGAUCUGGAGGAAUACCGGUGGCGAAGGCGGCCCCCUGGACAAAGACUGACGCUCAGGUGCGAAAGCGUGGGGAGCAAACAGGAUUAGAUACCCUGGUAGUCCACGCCGUAAACGAUGUCGAUUUGGAGGUUGUGCCCUUGAGGCGUGGCUUCCGGAGCUAACGCGUUAAAUCGACCGCCUGGGGAGUACGGCCGCAAGGUUAAAACUCAAAUGAAUUGACGGGGGCCCGCACAAGCGGUGGAG
rnacentral:rRNA from 1 species